CGUUAGCGGCGGACGGGUGAGUAACACGUGGGUAACCUACCUAUAAGACUGGGACAACUUCGGGAAACCGGAGCUAAUACCGGAUAAGAUAUCGAACCGCAUGGUUCGAUAGUGAAAGANGGUUUUGCUAUCACUUAUAGAUGGACCCGCGCCGUAUUAGCUAGUUGGUGAGGUAACGGCUCACCAAGGCAACGAUACGUAGCCGAUGAGAGGGUGAUCGGCCACAUUGGGACUGAGACACGGCCCAAACUCCUACGGGAGGCAGCAGGC
rnacentral:rRNA from 1 species